GGCCGGGUGUUCUAGUGGUCAGGACGUUAGUCUUGUAAGCUGAAGAAGCCGGUUCGAUUCCGGCCUUGGUCA